GGAGAAGAUUGUUUUGACAAAAAAAACAGAGAAAGAGAUGAGUCUCUUCUAUCUCUUGGGUGCUUCUCUUCUCCGGCUUCUAAGUCUAAUAAC